GCCAUUCUGCGGAAGAAACGGACACUCGUUUCUUGAUCUACGAACAUUUUCCUCAACGGUUAAUGCCGGUAACGCAAUGUCUCCUCUAUUUUAUGUUUUCAUUCACAUCUACAUUUUGUGGUGAUGGAACGUUUCUCAUUCUGCUUUAUUACUCAGUUUUAUGCACCCUUAUCUUUUAUUAAAACGAACGAAAAAAGAAAAGAAAAAAGGUGAUUUUAAACGCUUUGUGUGGAAGAGCCAGAAGGGAAAACCCUACUUUAAGUAAUAGACAUCAGUAGGCAUAGGCUAUCUAUUAAAACGGUAAAACUUCGUGGGAGCUUAACAGCCUACACAGCGAACAGAAGUGCGCGUGCGAUCGAUGGUUAGUUGAAUUUACAUUUACAUGUAGGCUAGGGCAUGGGAACACAGAGCGUGCCUGCUUGGAUUUCGCGGGUGUUGGACUGAACCACCCCGAUCCAGGCCUAGGCGGCGCUGUGCGCUGAGAGAAGGGGGCAUGUCCAAAACAAAAUGGCUGCACCCGGAAACUUCGAUCGUUGUGUAGCAGCUGCCACACAGUCACCGUCAGCACCCGACCCAUAUGAGCAAAUGUCUAGGGAGCUCACCGUGCGAGUGACCCAACAAAAGCUGACGGGGAUAGAAGUGUGUUCCUGUGCCUGCUCUCCUCGGACACACAGACAAACUGACCUCUAGUUCUGUCCGAGUCUGAGCCACUGUUGUUGUGAUGUGUUGCGGAACAUGACUUUGUGAACGUUCAUUAACUACAAAGUUAACAAAGACAUACAAAUAUACUCGAAGGUCACGCAAAACUAACUUCGAGAACAUGCACGUAAUUACAAGGACU